rnacentral:rRNA from 1 species
GAUGAACGCUGGCGGCGUGCCUAAUACAUGCAAGUCGAGCGAACAGAUGAGGAGCUUGCUCCUCUGACGUUAGCGGCGGACGGCUGAGUAACACGUGGAUAACCUACCUAUAAGACUGGGAUAACUUCGGGAAACCGGAGCUAAUACCGGAUAAUAUAUUGAACCGCAUGGUUCAAUAGUGAAAGACGGUUUUGCUGUCACUUAUAGAUGGAUCCGCGCCGCAUUAGCUAGUUGGUAAGGUAACGGCUUACCAAGGCAACGAUGCGUAGCCGACCUGAGAGGGUGAUCGGCCACACUGGAACGGAGACACGGUCCAGACUCCUACGGGAGGCAGCAGUAGGGAAUCUUACGCAAUGGGCGAAAGCCUGACGGAGCAACGCCGCGUGAGUGAUGAAGGUCUUCGGAUCGUAAAACUCUGUUAUUAGGGAAGAACAAAUGUGUAAGUAACUAUGCACGUCUUGACGGUACCUAAUCAGAAAGCCACGGCUAACUACGUG